GACGAACGCUGGCGGCGUGCUUAACACAUGCAAGUCGAACGGUGAAGCGCCUUCCUUUUUGGUGGGUGUGGAUGAGUGGCGAACGGGUGAGUAACACGUGAGUAACCUGCCCCCUUCUUCUGGAUAACCGCAUGAAAGUGUGGCUAAUACGGGAUAUUCUGGGUCUGUCGCAUGAUGGGUCUGGGAAAGAUGUUGUUUCGGGGGGGGAGGGUCUCGCGGCCUAUCAGCGUGUUGGUGGGGUGAUGGCCUACCAAGGGGGUGAGGGGUAGACGGCCUGAGAGGGUAGACGGCCACACUGGGUAUGAGACACGGCCCAGACUCCUACGGGAGGCAGCAGUGAGGAAUAUUGAACAAUGGGGGCAAGCCUGCUGCAGCGGCGCCGCGUGAGGGACGGAGGCGUUCGGGUUGUGAACCUCUUUCGCUAGUGAAGCAGGCCUGCCUCGUAUGUGGGUGGGUUGACGGUAGCUGGAUAAGAAGCGCCGGCUAACUACGUG
rnacentral:rRNA from 1 species